AUGAUCUCGGACGGAUGGUUGGCAUCUCCCCCCACAGGGACGGGAACAGCCUUCGGGCUUUACCUGUUAUCAAACACAUCUGGUUAAGGCUACCUGCCCCAGAUCUUACCCAAUUUUUUU